rnacentral:rRNA from 1 species
CCUAUCAGCUUGUUGGUGAGGUAAUGGCUCACCAAGGCGUCGACGGGUAGCCGGCCUGAGAGGGUGACCGGCCACACUGGGACUGAGACACGGCCCAGACUCCUACGGGAGGCAGCAGUGGGGAAUAUUGCACAAUGGGCGGAAGCCUGAUGCAGCAACGCCGCGUGAGGGAUGACGGCCUUCGGGUUGUAAACCUCUUUUAGCAGGGAAGAAGCGAAAGUGACGGUACCUGCAGAAAAAGCGCCGGCUAACUACGUGCCAGCAGCCGCGGUAAUACGUAGGGCGCAAGCGUUAUCCGGAAUUAUUGGGCGUAAAGAGCUCGUAGGCGGUUUGUCGCGUCUGCUGUGAAAUCCCGAGGCUCAACCUCGGGUCUGCAGUGGGUACGGGCAGACUA